GUUGAGGUUAUGCACACUAAAUCUAAAAGUUUCAAAUGAAUUCCAUGGAAUUCAACAGAUUUUAGGAUUGAAAACGCAGGCGGUUUUGCAAGGAACUUGAUCUCGGAAAAACUGUCGCAAAAUCGAAAACUAGUGGACUGGCCGAAUUAUAUAAAUGGAUCUUUAAAAUCAAACCAUUAUAACGAUGUUAUAGAAGUUCAAAGUUCAACAAAGGUUUAGAAAUCGUUCUCUUUCGGUGGAUUCUACCUGACGAAAAAGUUCAAGGCUAAAACGCCAACGUUGCGUAUGAUCGAUAACUAGAAUUGUGUGGAGGUGUGGGGGCGGAGGAGGCGUGGUCACUUUUUAUGACGCGUCGAGACAACGGUAAUGUCAAAACUACGCUCUUUGCAUACGUAAAAUCCAACGAAAAUCCCGAAAAGCGAUAACCGAAGACCGAAAUUCAAAUUGAAACCCGCUUGUCAGCAAAUCUUCCGACGCACUUGCUCCGCCGCGAAAGAGACGGGGAUAACCAGAGCGAUAGAGACGGGAAUAGAGUGGCACGGCUCACUUACAU